rnacentral:rRNA from 1 species
AUUGAACGCUGGCGGCAGGCCUAACACAUGCAAGUCGAACGAGUGGCGUACGGGAGAGUAAUGUCUGGGAAACUGCCCGAUGGAGGAGGAUAACUAAUGGAAACGGUAACCAAUACCGCACACAAUAGGAUGUGCACAGAUGGGAUUAGCUAGUAGGUGGGGCAACGGCUUACCUAGGCGACGAUCCCUAGCUGGUCUGAGAGCAUGACCAGCCACACUGGAACUGAGACACGGUCCAGACUCCUACGGGAGGCAGCAGUGGGGAAUAUUGCACAAUGGGCGAAAGCCUGAUGCAGCCAUGCCGCGUGUAUGAAGAAGGCCUUCGGGUUGUAAAGUACUUUCAGCGGGGAGGCGUUACUCGCAGAAGAAGCACCGGCUAACUCCGUGCCAGCCGCCGCGGUAAUUC